CCUACGGGAGGCAGCAGUGGGGAAUAUUGCGCAAUGGGCGAAAGCCUGACGCAGCGACGCCGCGUGAGGGAUGAAGGUCUUCGGAUCGUAAACCUCUGUCAGCAGGGAAGAACGGUCACUGUGCUAAUCAGCAGUGAAUUGACGGUACCUGCAAAGAAAGCACCGGCUAACUCCGUGCCAGCAGCCGCGGUAAUACGGAGGGUGGGAGCGUUAAUCGGAAUUACUGGGCGUAAAGCGCUCGUAGGCGGUAUGUCAAGUCAAGGGUGAAAGCCCCGGGCUCAACGUGGGAAUUGCCUUUGAUACUGGCAACCUGGAGUGUGGGAGAGGAAAGUGGAAUUCCAGGUGUAGGAGUGAAAUGCGUAGAUAUCUGGAGGAACAUCAGUGGCGAAGGCGACUAUCUGGCACAUAACUGACGCUGAGGAGCGAAAGCGUGGGUAGCAAACAGGAUUAGAUACCCGGGUAGUC
rnacentral:rRNA from 1 species